UACAGAUGUUGACUCUAGAACAUAGUAGAAGGAAGACGCCAAGGCAUUGUUCCUCUGCAAUGCUGUGUUUGCCAGUGACAUGGCCCUCGGUGGUAGGUCCCAGCUUCUGAUGAGCAUCCCUGCAAUUACUCCUUUGAAUGGGCCAUCUGUUUCCUGCCAGGAUCGCAGUCAAGUAAAUUUGGGGGACAUGUUUGAAAAUUUGCAAUGCUUAUUAGCAUCUUAAGGCUCCAAAAAGUCCUGCAGUAAAGAAACUUUUUAAUUGUG